ensembl:lncRNA
GUAGCAACUGCUGAUUGCCCCUUUAAAGAGCCUGUGUGAUGUGUUUGUUUAGUUACCAUUCAUGUGCUCGUGGGAAACAUCCCAGUUGGAACAAUUCUUCAACCAAUGACAUUUUAGCUAGCUAUAUGAGCUAUAUGAGCUAAGUUUCUAAUAAUAAAGUUAGCUAGGUUGCAAACAUGGACAAUAUAGUCAAACUAGCUACGUAUCAACAAUGAUACAUAUCACGUGUGUUGAUAUGUAGCAUUGUCAUUUUCUCAGACUUUCCGACUUGUAAUUACAACUUGGAGGGCCGUUCAAGUGAAACUUCCCAGUGGAAGUCUCGUAUUUCCAAUAACUCAGACACCACAUGAACAGACUAUUUGUCCCACCUCCUGUUUAAAGGGUGACAUAGUGUUGGCUACUGUAUUGGUCUAUUGAUGGUUAAAUCAGCCACGUGAUUCUGAGGUAAAAGGAUGUGUGUUGUCAUGCCGUAUACCCCGGUAUAUGGUAUCAACGUUAUAUCAUCCAAGCCUAGUUGAUACCACCUGAGGACGGAGAGAGAAUAGGAUGUUGACAUCACYUGGCAGACAACAGGUUUACAGGUGAGGCCAGAUAGUGACUGAGACAAGUAUUGUACAUGAAAGUUAGUUACUCAAGUCAAAGUUUGCUCUCUUUUUGUCAUCAUUCUUUUCUGUAGACUUUAACUUCAAUUGGUCCGCUCUUCAGACAAACAGAUUGAAAAGGCUGACCUGCAGAGAAGCAGMUUAUGUCCUCCACAUUGGUGUUGUUGGUGAUUCUCUUCCUUCUAGUUACAGCUUAUGUCCUCCACAUUGRUGUUGUUGGUGAUUCUCUUCCUUCUAGUUACAGCUUAUGUCCUCCACAUUGGUGUUGUUGGUGAUUCUCUUCCUUCUCGUACCUCCUUCUUCCUCAGUGGGGUGUCUGACAGUAUGUAGUUCCUUCUUCCUCAGUGGGGUGUCUGACAGUAUGUACCUCCUUCUUCCUCAGUGGGGUGUCUGACAGUAUGUACCUCCUUCUUCCUCAGUGGGGUGUCUGACAGUAUGUGUUCCUCUUCCUCAGUGGGUGUCUGACAGUAUGUAGUUCCUUCUAGUUAUGGAGGAGUGUCUGACAGUGUGUAGUUCCUUCUUCCUCAGUAGGUGUCUACAGUUGUAGUUCCUUCUCGUUAUGGUGGAGUGUCUGACAGUGUGUAGUUCCUUCUUCCUCAGUGGGGUGUCUGACAGUAUGUAGUUCCUUCUUCUCUCAGUGGGGUGUCUGACAGUAUGUAGUUCCUUCUAGUUAUGGUGGAGUGUCUGACACUAUGUAGUUCCUUCUUCCUCAGUGGGGUGUCUGACAGUAUGUAGUUCCUUCUAGUUAUGGUGGAGUGUCUGACAGUGUGUAGUUCCUUCUUCCUCAGGGGUGGUGUCUGACGUAUGUAGUUCCUUCUAGUUAUGGUGGAGUGUCUGACAGUUGUAGUUCCUUCUUCCUCAGUGGGGGUCUGACAGUAUGUAGUUCCUUCUUCCUCAGUGGGGUGUCUGACAGUAUGUAGUUCCUUCUAGUUAUGGUGGAGUGUCUGACAGUAUGUAGUUCCUUCUUCCUCAGUGGGUGUCUGACACGUAUGUAGUUCCUUAUAGUUAUGUGGAGUGUCUGACAGUGUGUAGUUCCUUCUUCCUCAGUGGGUGUCUGACAGUAUGUAGUUUCUUCUUCCUCAGUGGGGUGUCUGACAGUAUGUAGUUCCUUAUAGUUAUGGUGGAGUGUCUGACAGUAUGUAGUUCCUUCUUCCUCAGUGGGGUGUCUGACAGUAUGUAGUUCCUUAUAGUUAUGGUGGAGUGUCUGACAGUGUGUAGUUCCUUCUUCCUCAGUGGGGUGUCUGACAGUAUGUAGUUCCUUCUAGUUAUGGUGGAGUGUCUGACAGUAUGUAGUCCUUCUUCCUCAGUGGGGUUUCUGACAGUGUACCUCCUUCUUCCCACAAGUCUGCCCUUGCCUUGUUUGACCAAAUCAAUCACUGACUGUUAAUACUAUUUAUUGUAGAAUCUUUUACUGAUUGACCAUUAAGUAAUACUUGUCCCUCUCCUGGCUUUCCUCGCUCUAUAUUCUGGCCAUCUGUUUCCUGCUAGAACCCCUUUGCAGUAGCAUUAGUUAUUGAUUGUGAUAACUAUUAUUGCUUUACCUCCCUUAUCCGACCUCAUUUGCACACACUGUAUAUAGAUUUUUUCUACUGUUAUUAUUGACUGUAUGUUUGUUUAUUCCAUGUGUAACUCUGUGUUGUUGUAUGUCGAACUGCUUUGCUUUUAUCUUGGCCAGGUCGCAGUUGUAAAUGAGAACUUGUUCUCAACUAGCCUACCUGGUUAAAUAAAGGGGGGGGGGGGUAUAUACAUG